rnacentral:misc_RNA from 1 species
UUUCGCAGCAAAGCAUCAAAAGCCUGAAAUGGAGUAUUGGUUAAGGACUAAAUAAAGUCUGACAUGUGAAGCAAUAUCACAAAAUGGACAACAGUUAUUACAAAUGAAAGAAAAGAACUCAACUCAACUAAGUCUUUAUCCCAAAAAUUUGGGGUCAGCUAUAUGGAUUCGCUUUCUCCAUUCUAAACGAUUUUGAGUUAAAUGUGGUCCCAUCUUCACUAAUAAUAGGAUUAUUUAAUUUUCUUCAAAAUGUUUGUCAUCUUAAAGAAGUUGCCAUCUUCUCUGGUUUUUUCCUUAUUUUCAAAAUUGAUCUGUUUUUGGGUUUCUUGAAAUAUUUCAAUGUCUAUGCAAUACAAAUAGUUGACUUGUCCUUUUUGUUGUUAGAAACGAUCAUUUGACUGGUAAGUGAUUUUUAAAAUUUCCUAAGGUGUGAACGUUAUAUUCGUUUGUAAAUGUGCCUGAUGCAUGCAUUAUAUUGUUUCUGCUCUUUGACAGGAGGCCUGGUGAGGAAAGUGAU